rnacentral:tRNA from 1 species
GGGUUAACUAGAAUCAGAUAUACCGCAGCUCCAGGGACUCAUAAUCCCUUGGUCGUAGGUUCAAGUCCUACUGGGCCCACCA